rnacentral:rRNA from 1 species
GAUGAACGCUAGCGGCAGGCUUAACACAUGCAAGUCGAGGGGUAUAGUAGCAAUACUAGAGACCGGCAAACGGGUGCGGAACACGUACAGAAUCUACCUUUGUCUGGGGCAUAGCCCGAAGAAAUUCGGAUUAACUCCCCAUAAUAUAGAUGAGUGGCAUCACUUGACUAUUAAAAAUUUAUUGGACAGAGAUGACUGUGCGUCCCAUUAGCUAGUUGGUAGGGUAACGGCCUACCAAGGCGACGAUGGGUAGCUGGUGUGAGAGCACGACCAGCCACACGGGCACUGAGACACGGGCCCGACUCCUACGGGAGGCAGCAGUGAGGAAUAUUGGUCAAUGGACGCAAGUCUGAACCAGCCAUGCCGCGUGAAGGAUGAAGGCCUUCUGGGUUGUAAACUUCUUUUAUGUGGGAAGAAACCUCUUAUUUCUAUGAGAGUUGACGGUACCACAGGAAUAAGCACCGGCUAACUCCGUGCCAGCAGCCGCGGUAAUACGGAGGGUGCAAGCGUUAUCCGGAUUUACUGGGUUUAAAGGGUGUGUAGGCGGGCUAUUAAGUCAGUGGUGAAAUCUCCGAGCUCAACUUGGAAACUGCCAUUGAUACUAUUAGUCUUGAAUUCUGUUGAGGUAGGCGGAAUAAGUCAUGUAGCGGUGAAAUGCAUAGAUAUGACUUAGAACACCAAUUGCGAAGGCAGCUUACUAAGCAGAUAUUGACGCUGAGGCACGAAAGCGUGGGGAUCAAACAGGAUUAGAUACCCUGGUAGUCCACGCCCUAAACGAUGAUUACUCGACAUACGCGAUACACAGUGUGUGUCUGAGCGAAAGCAUUAAGUAAUCCACCUGGGAAGUACGACCGCAAGGUUG